GCAAAACGUUGCGAAGCAUUUUAACGUUUGCCUCGCAGUUCUCGAUCUCGGUGGAUCGAUUGGUCCAUGUGACAUAAAAAAGAUGAGUCACAUCAGCGAGCUGCGAGAGUUUGGCUUCGGCGUCUUCCGGAUCGGAGAUAUCGCAUUGAAUGUAUUCGAUGGGAUGGUCGGCGUUCCAGCUUGGCCUCGGCCUCCGAGCAACGCCGUAGACCUUCCAUGGACCGCCGGGGGUAUCGGAAAGAGGAAGAAUCUCGGCGAGACUGUUGCCGACGAUACCAGUAACGCCAAUCACCAGGGCUACGCUCUCAAAGCUCCUCGGAGGUUCAUCUUCUUCAAACUUUUUCUUAG
rnacentral:misc_RNA from 1 species